rnacentral:rRNA from 1 species
CCCAGUUCGGAUCGCAGCCUGCAACCCGGCUGCGUGAAGCUGGAAUCGCUAGUAAUCGCGGAUCAGAAUGCCGCGGUGAAUACGUUCCCGGGUCUUGUACACACCGCCCGUCACACCAUGGGAGUCGGAAAUGCCCGAAGUCUGUGACCUAACCGUAAGGAAGGAGCAGCCGAAGGCAGGUCGGAUGACUGGGGUGAAGUCGUAACAAGGUAAC